rfam:Branchiostoma floridae mitochondrion, complete genome.
CAUUGGGUAGCUUAAACAUAAAGCGUUAACCUUUUAAGUUAAUGAUGAGUUACUACUCCCCGAUGG